UAACGAAGGGGCUAGCGUUGCUCGGAAUCACUGGGCGUAAAGCGCACGUAGGCGGAUUGUUAAGUCAGGGGUGAAAUCCUGGAGCUCAACUCCAGAACUGCCUUGAUACUGGCGAUCUUGAGUCCGGGAGAGGUGAGUGGAACUGCGAGUGUAGAGGUGAAAUUCGUAGAUAUUCGCAAAGAACACCAGUGGCGAAGGCGGCUCACUGGCCCGGGUACUGACGCUGAGGUGCGAAAGCGUGGGAGCAACAGGG
rnacentral:rRNA from 1 species